AAAUAAUUAGGACCGAGAAUUUCCUGUCUGCCCCCCUCUCCUGCACGCCCUCCGUCCGCACAAUUUUUUACCCCUCCCAUCGAUCUGAGUUCGAUACCUGAAAAUUACAUUAUCGAUCGUCGAAAAAUAGAACCACGAUCCACUGGUCCUCCGCACCCGAGCGCACCCCACUGCCAACGCCGCCGCGCACCCUACUUCGCUGCCUCCGUGAACCCAGGCCUCUGCCGCCGUCGCCGCACCCGUCCCGUGAAGCCGCCAGCUAUCCACACCCCAUCCCCCCGCACUCCACUGCCAACGUCGCCGUCGGUUGUCGCCUCUGCUGCUGCACAGCCUGCUCCCGUCGCCUUGUCUUAGCUAGGAAUUUCCUACUCGUGGCCUCAUCUUUGAUCCGUGAUGAACAUGAGGCAUGAAGUAUGAACCUACUCGAUUCUUCCUUCAGCAUCCUCUGUCUCAUGGUUUAUUCCCCUCCCCUUGCCUCAGAUAAACACUGGUGUGGUGAUCGUCUGAUCAAGCAGUGGAGCCAAAGGUCUGUCUUUUUCUUUUGCGAGAAAGCCAAAGGUCUACCUGAACCAAUGAAUUAAGUACACACCGCCACCCACGCACGUAUCCUUCUGCUCGUCGGCCCUUGAAAUGACAUCAUCUUCUUAUGCCACCGUGGCCACCAUCUACCUCUGCAAUUGCACGUCUCAUCCCAGUUGGCGCAAGUAGAGAAGGAGCAAAUGAGACAAGGUUUGUCUAGGGAGUAGGCCACACAGUGUUUAAUGUUUUCUUGUGCAAAAUCCCGCAAAGAAGUAUUCCAGAGGUUUUCGUCAGAAGACAAUCUGAUAUCUGUAUCUCCUCCCUAUUCAGCAAGUUUAUCUUGGUUUUCCUCAAUGCGUCAUUUUUUUUGUAUGUUGCCACGAUUGAGUGGAAAGGAGUUUGUAAGUAUUUCUAUUGGGCCUGAAAUUAUUAGUUGAAUAGCGUGGCAGCGCAGUUACUGACCGUCUCGAUCAGAUCAGCUGGUCUAUUUGUGUUUAUUUCCAAACCGCAUAUUAGAAGGGUUUUAAAUCAGAUUGCCUAGCUGGA